CGCGGACUCAAAAGGGAACCCGGUGCGAAUCCGGGGCUGUGCCCGCAGCUGUAUCAUCCGAAACGGUUCCGAAGGAUGCCAUUGAAGCCUUGCUUCGAGAAGGCCGGGACCGGGAGAAGCCAGAAGACCUGCCACCGUC
rnacentral:ncRNA from 1 species